GCAUAUCAAUAAGCGGAGGAAAAGAAACUAACAAGGAUUCCCCUAGUAACUGCGAGUGAAGAGGGAAGAGCUCAAAUUUGAAAUCUGGCAGUGUUUUGCUGUCCGAGUUGUAAUCUAGAGAAGUGCUGCCCGUGCUGGACCAUGUACAAGUCUCCUGGAAUGGAGCGUCACAGAGGGUGAGAAUCCCGUCUUUGACAUGGACUGCCAGUGCAUUUGUGGUGUGCUCUCAAAGAGUCGAGUUGUUUGGGAAUGCAGCUCUAAAUGGGUGGUAAACUCCAUCUAAAGCUAAAUAUUGGCGAGAGACCGAUAGCGAACAAGUACCGUGAGGGAAAGAUGAAAAGAACUUUGGAAAGAGAGUUAAACAGUAUGUGAAAUUGUUGAAGGGAAACGCUUAAAGUCAGUCGUGUCGGCCAGGGAUCAACUCAGUAUUAUCUGCUGGGUGUACUUCCUGAUCUGAUGGGCCAACAUCAGUUUUGACUGCUGGAGAAGGAUAGAGGGAAUGUGGCACCUUCGGGUGUGUUAUAGCUCUCUGUCGGAUGCAGGUGGUUGGGACUGAGGAAAGCAGCAUGCCGCAAGGCCGGGUCGUUUCGACCACGUUCAUGCUGAGGAUGUUGGCAUAAUGGCUUUAAUCGACCCGUCUUGAAACACGGA
rnacentral:rRNA from 1 species